UGAAGCUGGAGCCCAGGAAAGUUCAGUGAUUUGUGCAUGGACCAAGAAGUUAUUAAGAUAAGAGAUGGGAUUGGAACCCAGGGUCUCAUCCUCUCAAAUUCUAAGGUUCUACUCCUUCCAUUAGAGAAGCUACCAUUACAUAGAGAAGAAGAGGAAGAAAGUUUGGGAAAAAGAAAAGGAAUAUUGGGGGAUUGAGGAGUGAAUGAAAAAAAGGUAGGGAAAAGUCAGCUAGGUAGUUCAGUGGAUAGAGAGGCAGGAAUGGAGAUGGGGAGGUCUUGGGUUCAGAUAUGACUUCAGCCACCUUCUUAGCUGUGUGACCCAGGAAAGUUCACAUUAGUUGCCCAGCCUGUACCACUCUUCUGCUUGGGAUCCAAUAUUUAUCUAUCAAUUCUUAGAUAUAAUAUAAACGUUUAAAAAACAGAAUUGUAGGGAUCAAUGGUUUUGGGGUUAAACAUGAAGAAGGAAAGAUGGGGGAGGGAAGAGGAAAGAGGAUAUGUUUGGGUAGUAAACAGUGUCUGAGAGCAGAGGGAUGGAGGUGGGGAAGGAGUUAAUGAAAAAACCCCUUAGACUAAGCCAAAAGGUGAGAGGGGAAUGGAGGGUAACGUGUGCAAGAGACUGGACAGAUCUUCAGUUGGGACCCCCACACUCUGCUGCCUCUGUGGAAAAAAAAGAGUUGUGAGUUUGCCUUUUCAAUCUGACUUUCAGGGUGUGAGAAGAAUGAUGCCACUCAGGAGGUGACCCAAAGGGAGGUGGCAGCCUGGAGAAUCCUGCAGGGGUGUGAGAAGAAUGAUGCCACUCAAGAGGUGACCCAAAGGGAGGUGGCAGCCUGGAGAAUCCUGCAGGGUAAGGAGAGGGAAGGCUCACCAAGCAGAGCUCAGGGUGAUGAUGGGCUGGCAAUAGUGGCAGGCCUGGAGUAUAAAGACCCAACAUCAAACCCAAAUCCUCACUUAGGAGGCUGUCCCAGCCCUUCCCUGGCUCUGACUCUCAGCACAUCUGUCCUCCCACCAGCUUUGGACUAUAGAGCCAGCAGCCUCUCUGGCCAAGUUAGAACACUGAGGAGAUCUGGGUUCUAGUGUCAGCCCUGCUGCUAACUGUCACUGGGUCCUUCCUUGUGUGUCUCCCUGUCCUGCCCCAUAACAGGAGGGCAUGAGGACUUUCCCCACCAAUACCACCCCAUUCAGAUCUGCUGAGAGCUGCUGGUAGUGGGAGGGUCUGAGGGUCCUUCAGGUCACAGAGGGUUUGUGCAAUAAUGAACCAAAGUCAGGAAGUCACAGGGACCACACUGGCCUUGGCUGCUUCCUUGGUCAAAUUCCUCACCUCCAUCCCAUCCCCUUUCCCCCUUUGGUCCUAAUGGAAGCCAUUGGAGAGAGUGGGAUGGAGAAGAGGAAAGUCCAUGAGAAAAACAACUCCUUAGAAACACAGAAAAUAUUUGCUUGAUCACAUGAUUCAGUGGGGAUAUGACUGGAGAUGUUUUCUUUAAACCAUCACUCUAUUGCAGAUAUUAAUUAAAUAGAAAAGGGUCUUGAUCAAUAAUACACUUAAAAGUCAGAGCAAUUGCCCAUUGUCUAUGGGAGGAGGGACAGGAAAGAACAUGAAUAAUGUAUCCAUGGAAAAUAUUCUAAAUAAAUUAAAUAAAUAAAUUUUAGAAAUUAAAAAA
rnacentral:lncRNA from 1 species